rnacentral:rRNA from 1 species
AUUGAACGCUGGCGGCAGGCCUAACACAUGCAAGUCGAACGAGUGGCGGACGGGUGAGUAAUGUCUGGGAAACUGCCCGAUGGAGGGGGAUAACUACUGGAAACGGUAGCUAAUACCGCAUACCAUCGGAUGUGCCCAGAUGGGAUUAGCUUGUAGGUGAGGUAACGGCUCACCUAGGCGACGAUCCCUAGCUGGUCUGAGAGGAUGACCAGCCACACUGGAACUGAGACACGGUCCAGACUCCUACGGGAGGCAGCAGUAGGGAAUCUUCCGCAAUGGGCGAAAGCCUGACGGAGCAACGCCGCGUGUAUGAAGAAGGCCUUCGGGUUGUAAAGUACUUUCAGCGGGGAGGCGUUACCCGCAGAAGAAGCACCGGCUAACUCCGUGCCAGCAGCCGCGGUAAUAC